UACGGAGGAUGCGAGCGUUAUCCGGAUUUAUUGGGUUUAAAGGGUGCGUAGGCGGAGUGUCAAGUCAGCGGUAAAAUUUCGGGGCUCAACCCCGUCGUGCCGUUGAAACUGGGGGGCUUGAGUUCAGGCGAGGUAGGCGGAAUUCGUGGUGUAGCGGUGAAAUGCAUAGAUAUCACGAAGAACUCCGAUUGCGAAGGCAGCAUACCGGCGCCCGACUGACGCUGAGGCACGAAAGCGUGGGGAUCGAACAGG
rnacentral:rRNA from 1 species